CCUCCUGUAUCCCACAUCUCACAUUCAAUUUCACACAUAGAAACCCACACUUUUACACUCUAACUGAAAAGCACCUAAAUUUAAUAAAAUGCAGUUAAUUUAACGUACCUUUUGCAUCAUGGUAUAACUAGUUUAUUACUAUUAGUUCAACCCCGAAAAUUUUCCGAGCUGGGGAGGCGCUGAUCUAGAUACCCAUACUACAAUGUUACAAUAUUGUGAUAAGACGCAUUCCCAGAGGCUACAUACCCCCGCGGAGAUUGAUAGCUGGUUACGCAAUAAUCGAUUUUAGUCGAAAAAGCCAGUUGCUAUAAAAACAUUAAAGGCAAAGCUUUAAUGUAAAUUCUAUAUACUAACAAUUUUAUCUAAUAUAAGCUUAACACCGGCUAAUAACCCGUUCCUGGGGCAUAUAACCAGAACUUUAAUUUUUUAAACUUGAAUAUUAAAGCGUAACUUUCUAACUUUAAGAAUUUCUUAUAAUGUUAUAACUAGUAUAAACAAACCCAAACACACAUACGUAACCGUGUAAACCAAAUACUAUAAACUUACAUUCAAAUAAGGAACUCGGCAAAUAUUUUAUUCAGCCUGUUUAACAAAAACACCGCCUAUUGAAAAUAUAAUAGGUCCAUCCUGCCCAGUGAUUUUUUAAUUCAACGGCCGCGGUAUCCUGACCGUGCAAAGGUAGCAUAAUCAUUUGCUUUUUAAUUGAAGGCUAGUAUGAAAGGACAAACAAGAAUAAAGCUGUCUCAUUUGAAUUUUUUAUAAACUGAUAAUCAGGUGAAGAAGCCUGAACCACUAUAAAGGACAAGAAGACCCUAUAGAGCUUUACUGGCUAGAGCUGUUAUACUUAACACCAGUUUGAUUGGGACAAUCUAAAGACAAACACACCUCUUUUUAACUAUUUUAAAAUACACACCCAAUAAUGUAUUAAUAUAUAGCUACCUUAGGGAUAACAGGCUAAUCCCACUAGAGAGAUCACAUUGACAGUGGGGGUUGGCACCUCGAUGUUGGCUUAGUGUAACUUUUAGGCGCAGCCGCCUAAAAAAGUUGGUUUGUUCAACCAUUAAAUCACUACAUGAGCUGAGUUCAGACCGGCGUAAGCCAGGUUAGAUUCUAUCCUUAUAAACUAAAAUUAAACCGUAGUACGAAAGGACCCGGUAUUACAGAUUAAAUCUAUAUAAAUUUUCUCCCAUAUU
rnacentral:rRNA from 1 species